rnacentral:rRNA from 1 species
AACGAACGCUGGCGGCAUGCCUAACACAUGCAAGUCGAACGGGUACCUUCGGGUGCUAGUGGCGCACGGGUGCGUAACGCGUGGGAAUCUGCCCUUGGGUUCGGAAUAACUCAGCGAAAGCUGUGCUAAUACCGGAUGAUGUCGAAAGACCAAAGAUUUAUCGCCCGAGGAUGAGCCCGCGUUGGAUUAGCUAGUUGGUGGGGUAAAGGCCUACCAAGGCGACGAUCCAUAGCUGGUCUGAGAGGAUGAUCAGCCACACUGGGACUGAGACACGGCCCAGACUCCUACGGGAGGCAGCAGUGGGGAAUAUUGGACAAUGGGCGAAAGCCUGAUCCAGCAAUGCCGCGUGAGUGAUGAAGGCCUUAGGGUUGUAAAGCUCUUUUACCCGGGAUGAUAAUGACAGUACCGGGAGAAUAAGCGCCGGCUAACUCCGUG